rnacentral:rRNA from 1 species
UGCAAGUCGAGCGGUAGAACUAGCUUCGGUUGGUUUGAGAGCGGCGCACGGGUGAGUAACGCGUACGUAACCUGCCCUUCAGUGGGGAAUAGCCCCGGGAAACUGGGAUUAAUGCCCCAUGGUACUUUCGAUCUGCCUGGAUUGAAAGUUAAAGCUUCGGCGCUGAAGGAUGGACGUGCGUCUGAUUAGCUGGUUGGUGAGGUAACGGCUCACCAAGGCGACGAUCAGUAGGGGGCGUGAGAGCGUGACCCCCCACACGGGUACUGAGACACGGACCCGACUCCUACGGGAGGCAGCAGUAAGGAAUAUUGGGCAAUGGAGGCAACUCUGACCCAGCCAUCCCGCGUGCAGGAAGACGGCCCUACGGGUUGUAAACUGCUUUUAUGAAGGAAGAAAGGUUGGCAUUUAUGCUGAUUUGACGGUACUUCAGGAAUAAGCACCGGCUAACUCCGUGCCAGCAGCCGCGGUAAUACGGAGGGUGCGAGCGUUAUCCGGAAUCACUGGGUUUAAAGGGUGCGUAGGCGGCCUGAUAAGUCAGAGGUGAAAGUCUGCGGCUUAACCGUAGAAUUGCCUUUGAUACUGUUGGGCUUGAGUCAGGUUGAGGUUGGCGGAAUGUGACAUGUAGCGGUGAAAUGCAUAGAUAUGUCAUAGAACACCGAUUGCGAAGGCAGCUGACUGGACCUGAACUGACGCUGAGGCACGAAAGCGUGGGGAGCGAACCGGAUUAGAUACCCUGGUAGUCCACGCCCUAAACGAUGCUCACUCGAUAUGCGAUCCGUAGGAUUGCGUGUCCAAGCGAAAGCGUUAAGUGAGCCACCUGGGGAGUACGUCAGGCAACGAUGUAUCUCAAAGGAAUUGACGGGGGUCCGUACAAACGGUGGAACAUCUGGAUUAAUGCGAUGAGAUGCGAGGAGCCGUACAUGGGCUAGAAUGCGAGUGACCGGCCCUGAAAGGGGCUUUUCAUGCGGGACACAAAGCAAGGUGAUGCAUGCCUGUCGUCAGCUCGUACCGCUGAGGUGUUGGCUUAAGUCCCGCAACGAGCGCAACCCUUGGCCUGAGUUGCCAGCACUUCGGGUGGGGACUCUAAGGAGACUGCCGGCGCAAUCCGCGAGGAAGGUGGGGAUGACAUCAAGUCAUCAUGGCAUGUAUGCCCAGGGCUACACACGUGCUACAAUGGCCAGUACAGAGGGU